GAUGAACGCUGGCGGCGUGCCUAAUACAUGCAAGUCGAGCGAACAGACGAGGAGCUUGCUCCUCUGACGUUAGCGGCGGACGUGUGAGUAACACGUGGAUAACCUACCUAUAAGACUGGGAUAACUUCGGGAAACCGGAGCUAAUACCGGAUAAUAUAUUGAACCGCAUGGUCCAAUAGUGAAAGACGGUUUUGCUGUCACUUAUAGAUGGAUCCGCGCCGCAUUAGCUAGUUGGUAAGGUAACGGCUUACCAAGGCAACGAUUCGUAGCCGACCUGAGAGGCUGAACGGCCACACUGGAACUAAGACCCGGUCCAGACUCCUAGGGGAGGCCGACGUAGGGAAUCUUCCGACAUGGGCGAAAGCCUGACGCAGCACCGCCGCGUGAGUGAUGAAGGUCUUCGCAUCGUAAAACUCUGUUAUUAGGGACGAACAAAUGUGUAAGUAACUAUGCACGUCUUGACGGUACCCAAUCAGAAAGCCACGGCUAAACACGUG
rnacentral:rRNA from 1 species